rnacentral:rRNA from 1 species
AUGACUCUUGACAUGGGUGACGCUAAAAAGAAGCUUCGCAUCACUAGCGAUGGUAUACAACAAUUAUUUGGUUUCCCUCGUGGUGGUCGUUCUGCACCAAGGCCAUCAGAGGAUGGAUAUGACGAUGCUCUGAUGAAGUUAAGAACGGAGCUUGACAUUAGCAAGAACAAAGAAAUCAGUACAAAGGAUUUGAGGAAUAAGCUCAAGGUGCUCGUCAAGGAUCCUAGCAAAGAUGACCUUGCUCUGAAAGUGUUCUUCAUUAUUGUGUUUAUGAAGGUUGUGUUGCCUGGUUCUGCCCCGCGAUUCUCCAGAGAGACAUGGCUAAAAUGGAUUAUUGCCAGCUGA